rnacentral:rRNA from 1 species
CGUGUAGGCGGUUGGUCAAGUCGGGUGUGAAAGCCCGAGGCCUCAGCCUCGGAAGUGCAUACCGAAACUAGCCAGCUAGAGCGCGAUAGAGGAGGGUGGAAUUCCUGGUGUAGCGGUGAAAUGCGUAGAUAUCAGGAGGAACACCGGCGGCGAAGGCGGCCCUCUGGAUCGUUGCUGACGCUGAGACGCGAAAGCGUGGGGAGCAAACAGGAUUAGAUACCCUGGUAGUCCACGCCUUAAACGAUGGGUACUAGGUGUUCGGGGUGUUGACCCCCUGAGUGCCGCAGUUAACGCAUUAAGUACCCCGCCUGGGGACUACGGCCGCAAGGUUAAA